GAGGUUGUGGCUCAGCGGUAGAGCACUCACCUAGCAUGUGAGAGGCCCUGGGUUUGAUCCUCAACACCCCG
rnacentral:tRNA from 1 species